AUACGUAGGUGGCGAGCGUUGUCCGGAAUUACUGGGUGUAAAGGGUGCGUAGGCGGGUGAUAAAGUCAGGUGUGAAAUACCACAGCUUAACUGUGGGGCUGCACUUGAAACUUAUCAUCUUGAGUGAGGUAGAGGUAAGCGGAAAUUCCGUGUGUAGCGGUGAAAUGCGUAGAUAUACGGAGGAACACCAGUGGCGAAGGCGGAUUACUGGACGAUAACUGACGCUGAGGCGCGAAAGCGUGGGGAGC
rnacentral:rRNA from 1 species